rnacentral:lncRNA from 1 species
CUUUGAGUUAUUCCUUGAUCAAAGCACAAACUUUUUUUUAUCCUAAGCCUUUUUCUUUCCCCCUAUUUGUGUCCUUUCACAUCUCCUAGCCAUAUGUUGUCUUUUUUAUUUUACUUACAGGAAUACAGCUGUGAUGAUUCAACUUUACCCAAAGACAGAUCCUUAAUGAUUACAGUUGUGAUUGCUCCAGCUUACAAGAAGCAGCCACACUAAGCCCAGACCUGCUGACUUAUCCGAAAAGAAGAAAACUAAGAAAGAAGAGAAAAUAUCUCAGACUCAACCUGCAAAAGAAGAGGAAAAGUCACGGAGUCAACCUAGCUCAUUGCAUUUCCAGGGUCAACAUGGCUCACGUGCCCAGAGUUAACAUGGCUCACGUGCCCAGAGUCAACGUGAGAAACCAAAACAAUCAACACCAAUCCCAAAAACUCUAUUCCCAAAGUAGUCUUAAUUAAAUAUUAAUUCCUAUUCUGAUGUCAUUUGUUCUUCAUUAUUUUAAAUAAUUUG